UACGUAGGGUGCAAGCGUUGUCCGGAAUUAUUGGGCGUAAAGGGCUCGUAGGCGGUCCAUCGCGUCGGGAGUGAAAAGCUGGGGCUUAACCCCAGUCCUGCUUCCGAUACGGGCGGACUAGAGGUAGGCAGGGGAGAACGGAAUUCCUGGUGUAGCGGUGAAAUGCGCAGAUAUCGGGAAGAACACCCGUGGCGAAGGCGGCUCUCUGGGACGGUACUGACGCUGAGACGCGAAAGCGUGGGGAGCGAACAGG
rnacentral:rRNA from 1 species